rnacentral:tRNA from 1 species
UCCCAUAGCUCAGCUGGAUAGAGUGCUCGCCUCCGAAGCGAGAGGUCGCUGGUUCGAAUCCAGCUGGGACCACCAUUUCC